CACACACAGGUCUGUGUGUGUGUGUGUGGACAGACCGUCUCCUCGCCUGAAGAGAUGCUGCUGCUGUGAUCUGCAGCCUUUGUUACCAUGGCAACUGAACACGUGUGCACACACACACACACCUGUAACAGUGUCUCAGUCAGGAGGAGGAGCUAAGCUAAUCGAUUAGCUAACAGGAAAAGCUGCUGGAAACAGGAAAUGGAAAGUGAAGAUUGAAUCUAGGAAACGUCUUUUCAAAUUCUCUGAUUUAUUCACAACUUAGUAAUAAAUGUGGUUAUAAAGGGUUUAUUUAAUGUGUAAUUUGUUUUUUGUUAAUCCAAUUUUAAACCUGAAGUUUUAGUCAAUGAUUAAUCGUUCAUUUAUAAAUUCUUGUAAUUACAUUAAAACAUGAAAUGAAUGAAAUGCUUUCUGACUUGUCCUGUGACGCCUCUGCUCCUCUGUAGUAUUGAUGAAGACUAUUUUUCAUAGAUAAUAAAAUGGAGGGUUUGUUUUGACAGUUUGGAUCAUGUGGUGCGUUUACAGGCUGGAAAAUAAAAUGAUGUCAAAGUUGUAGAUGUUAAAACUUGACAUGUUGUUUUGUUGAAUCAGGACAGAAGCAGCAGGUUUUCAGUACAUACAGUAUUCUUUAUUGAAUGAAGCAAAAUAAUGAAGAGAAUUUCAAUCCCCUAUUAUGAAAAUAAAUAAAUCAUUUUCUUUGUCUCACUUCCUGCAGCUGAUUUCAUCUUCUGCUGUCGUUUAGAUUUUCUGCUUCAAACCAGGAGAUUUAUUUUGUUUCCUGCGGACAGAGUUCAUUCAGCUGCUCGACACCGAAAACAAGAAAAACAUGAGACCGACCGAUCCAGUUUGGCACGGGGGUGGGGGGGUAAAUGCUCGCCAGAGAGAGAGAGAGAGAGAAAGAGACAGAGAGAGAGAGAGAGAGAAGCCGAGGGGUUAAAUCAUCAUCAUCAUCAUCAGCAGUGCAUUUGGUUGAGUUCAUGUUGGGAAGCCUGAGAGCGCAGAGCUCCACCAUUUAACUCCCCAAGCGUCCCCUUCAAAAUAAAAGACAAAUAAAAUUAAAUCUCAGUGUGCGAGUUAAGCGUUGCCGUGGUGACUAAUUACAAACUUUCCUCAACGAGCAAACACACCUGCUGCAAGGCAAGAACAACCUCCCUCUGCUGUAGUGAUACAAUCCUCAAAUAUUACACUCUCACUGUUUCCCAGCUAGCCGCACUCCCAUUGGUUUUCAAUGGGGAGCGCUAACGAUGCUAACGAGACAUUUAAGAAAAAAGAAAGAAGAA